rnacentral:rRNA from 1 species
GUAACGACUUGGGCGCUGUCUCAACGAGGGGCUCGGUGAAAUUGCAGUCUCGGUGAAGAUGCCGAGUACCCGCGGCUAGACGGAAAGACCCCGUGAACCUUUACUACAGCUUGGUAUUGGUGUUCGGUGCAUCUCGUUCAGAAUAGGUGGGAGGCUUUGAAGCAUCGGCUGCGGCUGGUGUGGAGCCAACUUUGAGAUACCACCCUUGGUGUAUUGGACAUCUAACAGCGCGCCAUGAAUCUGGGCGCUGAACAGUGCCAGGUGGGUAGUUUGACUGGGGCGGUCGCCUCCCAAAAUGUAACGGAGGCGCACAAAGGUUCCCUCAGCACGGUUGGAAAUCGUGCGUAGAGUGCAAAGGCAGCAAGGGAGCUUGACUGCGAGUCUGACAGGACGAGCAGGUGCGAAAGCAGGUCUUAGUGAUCCGGCGGUAGCAAGUGGAAGUGCCGUCGCUCAACGGAUAAAAGGUACUCCGGGGAUAACAGGCUUAUCGGGCCCAAGAGUCCACAUCGACGGCCCGGUUUGGCACCUCGAUGUCGGCUCGUCGCAUCCUGGGGCUGGAGUAGGUCCCAAGGGUUGGGCUGUUCGCCCAUUAAAGCGGUACGCGAGCUGGGUUCAGAACGUCGUGAGACAGUUCGGUCCCUAUCUGCCGUGGGCGUUGGAGAAUUGAGAGGAUUUGCCCCUAGUACGAGAGGACCGGGGUGAACGGACCUCUGGUGUAGCUGUUGUCCUGCCAAGGGCAUCGCAGCCUAGCUACGUCCGGAUCGGAUAACCGCUGAAGGCAUCUAAGCGGGAAGCCGGCCUCGAGAUGAGUUCUCCCAUCUCCUAGAGAGAGUAAGACUCCUGGUAGACCACCAGGUUGAUAGGCCAGAUCUGGAAGCGCUGUGAGGCGUGAAGGAGACUGGUACUAAUGAGUCGAGGGCUUGACGGA